AUUGAACGCUGGCGGAAUGCUUUACACAUGCAAGUCGAACGAUGAACCUUAGCUUGCUAAGGGGAUUAGUGGCGAACGGGUGAGUAAUGUAUCGGAACGUAUCCAAUAAUGGGGGAUAACUAGUCGAAAGAUUAGCUAAUACCGCAUACGUCCUACGGGAGAAAGCUAGGGACCUUCGGGCCUGGCGUUAAUGGAGCGGCCGAUAUCUGAUUAGCUAGUUGGUGGGGUAAAGGCUCACCAAGGCGAAGAUCAGUAGCUGGUCUGAGAGGACGACCAGCCACACUGGAACUGAGACACGGUCCAGACUCCUACGGGAGGCAGCAGUGGGGAAGUUUGGACAAUGGGCGAAAGCCUGAUCCAGCCAUUCCGCGUGAGUGAAGAAGGCCUUCGGGUUGUAAAGCUCGUUCGCAAGGGAAGAAAACUUAAGCUCUAACAUAGCUUGAGGUUGACGGUACCUUGAUAAGAAGCACCGGCUAACUACGUGCCAGCAGCCGCCGUAA
rnacentral:rRNA from 1 species